GCACAUUUCAUCUGUCAGAUUUCGCAUGCUGACUGCACUAAAAUGCAGAUGAAGGAAGUGCAAGGGAGAAAGAACAGGUUGAAAGGAGAUCCGUUAAUAUGGGAGCGGAUGUAGGCCGUGGAAGACUGGUAUCUGGAAGAGGAAGUGCAUGAACAGAUAGAUCCCCACGUCAGUUGCAGGCACUACACCAUGAAAGUCUCUAGCGAGAAAACUCAUGCUGCCAGAAGCAUUCGGUGGACACAACUAUUAAAGAAAUGGCAAAAGCAACA